GGAGAGUGGGUAGUCCGCACGAGCGCACCCUUACUUUUAGUUGCCACCAUUUAGUUGAGCACUCUAAAAGAACUGCCAGUGAUAAGCUGGAGGAAGGAGGGGAUGACGUCAAGUCCUCAUGGCCCUUACGUGUUGGGCUACACACGUGCUACAAUGGCAUUUACAGUGAGAAGCAAAGAUGCGAGUCUAAGCCAAUCCCUAAAAAAUGCCUCAGUUCGGAUUGUACUCUGCAACUCGAGUACAUGAAGCUGGAAUUGCUAGUAAUCGCGGAUCAGCACGCCGCGGUGAAUACGUUCCCGGGUCUUGUACACACCGCCCGUCACACCAUGGAAGUUGGUUACACCUGAAGGCAAAACGUAAAACUUUUGACUACGGUACGAUCAGCGACUGGGGUGAAGUCGUAACAAGGUANCCGUAGGGGAACCUGCGGCUGGAUCACCUCCUUUCU
rnacentral:rRNA from 1 species